GUCUGUCUGUGUGAUGCUUUUGCCAGAACCAGGUCAAGAAUGCUCUUCAGAACUUCUGUUAAGUUAGUUAAUGAGUUGGCUGACUAGCUAACUGAAUGAUUCCACAGUCCAGCAGAGAUGGUCAGAGAGUCUGCCUGGAGAUCUCUGCAAGCAGGAGAGGGGAAGAUCCUGUUGAAGUGCUUUGUACUCAAUAGACUGCAUAGAGCUGAUGAACUAAAGAUUUUCACUGAGACUCAGGUAAUUCACUCAGACCCAGUGGAGAAGUUGAUUUAUCUCACCUGGCAAGCACAAGCCAAAGAGCUGAUGGAAAAGAGUGAGAUUUCUGACAAAGUUAAAAGAAGGAAGGUGAUUGAAAAUGUAUUAUCACCAGCUCUGAAGGUGGCCUUAGGAGCUGGUAGCAAGGCAACCACUGGAGAAUGCUUUGAGAUUUUAGAGACGGUAUAUAGAAUUGUCAUAAAUGCAUCUGAGCUUACGGCUCAAUUUUCUGAGUUGUACAAAACAUACUAGAGAACUACUGGCUGUGUACCUGAGUAGAUUACACACAUUAGCGCAAGAAGUUUUGGAGGCUGGUGAGGUGAGGCUUGUGAGGUAAAAGAUACCGAAUUGGACUCUUAUAUACAAGAUCAAUUUUUCUGUGGUCCUUAUUAAAUACUCUUUUCAAAAACAUUAAUGCUAGUGGCAACAAAGGUCUCUUACGCCACACUCUUUUUUGAGGUGAGAUCUUUUGAAAGGGAGAUCAACAAAAGAGAGAACAUCAGUAAGAAAUAGAAGAAGGAAGGCCAUUGAGUAGGAGUACUUUUCAAUUGCUAAGGGUAUCUGAAAAUACUUCCAGAGCCAGUGACGAAGCCACUGAAAUAGGUUGAAAGGAGAAAUACCUGCAAAUGGAGCAAUGAUUGGUGGGACUGCAGAUAAUCAAGGCAAGUUCUGAAACUUCUGCUCCAUAUAGUCUGUUCACUGCCCAAACAAGUCCAAAGAAUUUUAAUAAACAAGCAAUAUCAAAAUGUACCAAAAGACUUUGUGUUUUAAACUGUGAGCAAAUUUUCAAAAUGAUUGUGAGAAUUCUCCUAACCAACCAAUUAUAUCAGCAGCCAGAAAGAAAAGAAAUUAACAACUCUCAGAGCGAAGCUGUUAUUCAUUGGGUUCAGGAGACAGAUGCUACCCAAAUGGAUGUCAGUGAGGUCAUUCAGCCGUUAGUAGGACCUGUUUGUCAUGGUUAUGUUUACCUAGAUGGAGCAAAGAGUACCUGCUGUAAUAGAUACUGGUUCUCAAGUAACGUGUGUAUCUAAAACUUUCUAUUAUGAGCAUUUAUCUUAUCAAAAGUUAGUCUAUUGCCAAUAUACUUCAGAUAGAAUGAACUUGAGGACACGUGAUUCCUGGGAUAUAUAUCCUUGAAGAUAUGAUUCCCAAAGGUCAUCUGUGGGACUAACAGACACUAUGAGAUACUAGUCUUGGUUUGUCCAGACCACCAUAUGAAUCAGCAAGUGUCAGUGCUCAGAGGCACAAAUGAGCUGAAAUAUUCUGUAGAAGACUGUAAGAAGAAAUGGGGUCCUGAUUUCUUAAGUAGAAUUUCACUACCAAGUGAGUGGGCUGAAGCUUAGACAAUUUUUCUUCAGUCAUUGCAGUAAGAAGCUGAAGAAGGGGCUGAUGUGAUCCUGAGAAGAAGAAAUUCAAUGACAACUCCACCUGGCCAGAAUUCUGAAAUUUGCAGUGAACAAACUGGAGACUGCCGUAAUGCUAGAAGAUCCAGGUGUUGCAGUUGGACCUGGUGGGCUAGCAAUUCUGUCUCAAUUUGCUAAAGUCACUGGCUCCAGUACGAGAACAGGGGUACAAGUCAAAAACUUAUUGAAGAAGAAUGACUCACAUUCUCAUUGUGAAGGGGCAAGCAGUUGAAUGGAUAAAGCUGGUGCCAACCCAAGUUUCAGAAGUUGUGACUAAGAAAGAGACGGUUAUAUUGCCGCUUGACUUUGAAGGAUUUCCUCAGUGCAGUUGAGACGAAAAAGACUGCUAAGACUAUCAGUAAGGAAGCUUGUAAAGGGAAGACUGUUCAUAAUCUAGACUUUGUAGGAGUUUCAGGAGUGACACAUCAGACUGAGCUCACUAAUGUCACUUUUUAAAGGAAGAACUAGGAGGGUUUUGCUCUCAGAUUUUGAAAAUAUGCGUCAGCAUGUGUGUGAGUUGGUGCCACUUGGAGUCAUUGAGGAAAUGUAGUCCAUAUGCAUCACAUGUGGUGCUGGUGUGUAAGAAGAUGAGCCCUUAGAAUGGUGGUGGAUUAUAGAAAACUGAACAGUGUUAUCUGAAAGGACACUUAUUGGUUACCCAGGAUAGAAGAAACCUUUGCCUUGCUGGUAGGAUCUAAAUGGUUGUCUGUAUUGGAUCUAAAAGUGGAUACUAUCAAGUUCCAGUACAGUCCCGUGAUUGUCUGAAGAUGGUCUUCACUACACUGUUUGGUAAUUGGCUUUUCAAAAUAAUGCUGCAAGGCUUGACUCUAAUGCUCCAGCUAUCUUCCAGCAAAUGAUGGAAUGUGUUAUGGCUGGUAUGAAUAUCACAGAAGUUGUAGAAUUCUUGGAUGAUUCAAUCAUCUUUUCAGCCACCCUAGAAACACAUGAGGAGUGUCUCCUAGAAAUUUUGAAAAGACUUCAGAAAUACAGCUUAAAACUUGUGCUUUCAAAGUGUAUACUUCACUUCAGCCUUCAGUGAAAUACCUGGGUCACAGCACAUCUCAAGAUGGGAUUUGUCCAGAUAGAGAGAACUGAUACUAUCAUCAUUUGGCCUGUUCCAACUACCUUCAGAACUUGUAGAUUCUUGGGAUUUGCUGAUUACUACCUAAGAUUUGUAGAGAGAUACUCUGUUAUUGCAAAACCUUUGAAUUCUCUUCUUGCUGGUGGUCCUAAAGAGAGUACAUGGAAUGGAAAACAACCGCUUGAGAGCAGAUGGGGUGCAGUUUGCCAACAGGCCUUUGAAACCUUGAAACAAAAUUUCACUACUGCAUCAAACCUUGCUGAAAAUCCUCAAUGACUGAAUUCUGGGUCUGCAUGUCCUUUUCUAUAGAAGUUGUAUUUUAAGAACUAGGAGAAGGGUGCUGAAAUAAACUCUAGCCCACCCAAAGAUUACAUGUGCUCUAGUGGGCAUGGACUCUUCUACCCCAUCCCCUACAGCCUGUACUAGUCGUAGCUCUUCCCUACUCCUGGCUCCUUGUUCCAGUUCAUUCUCCCCACCUAGCAAGUCAGGCUCCACUCCUCCAGCCUCUCCUGCCAGUCUUCUUGUUCAGCAAGUUCUUGACUCCCAGUUCCACCCCUGUGUAGCUCCUCAUCCAGUCUGUCUCCCUGGCCUUCCUGCCCAGGUUCAUCAUCCUCAGUGCCUUCCAUUCCUCCCCCAGCAGUCUGAGUCCUCUUCCCCCACCUGCUGGCUCACUGUUUCCCUCACCAGCUCCCAGUCCCAGUCUCUCCUUCAACCCCAAAUCCCAGUUUCUUUUCCCACCCCUGCCAGCCUCCAAUCCCAGUCUCCCUUGCUACUCCCCUUGGAUUCUCUGCAAGUCUGGCUCUUGUCCCCUCCGCAUUUGAAUUAGGCACCUUUCUCCUCCACUCUGCCUGGAUCCAGCAAGGGAACACUGAGAGCACAGGAGAGAGAGCCUCCCUAUUCGUACUUCAGGUGCCCAGAGCUGGACCCAACACUGUUUGCAGCAGCCAUUGCAGAGAAAGUCCUGCUCAGCCCUGAGCUGAAGCUUGCCCAAUGCAGCCAGAAUCUUGGGAGGUAUUUAGCUGCUAAAAUCUUAGUCUCUACUGGCCAUGUGCAAAUUGCUUUGAAUCUCAAGACAGAGAGAGGAGCAGUGGGGUGAUGUGUCCAUGGUGACCCAUGUGGCUAAACAGAUGAGAUGGCCUGUUGCAUUUUGUACCACUUGAAACUUUUUAAAGAUGUGUAGCUUUGAGUUUAUUUCUGUGUAAUGUAUGGCUUUUGUGUCAGGUGGAAUCUGCUGUUUUUCUACUGAUUUCUAGUUUAGUGCUAUGGUUGAUGUUUGAUGACUUGUCAAGUUGCUUAGAGCCAGGCAUGGGAGAAUUUGGGUUUUUACAUAUAUAUAUUUUAAGUUCAAAACAAAUAAUUGAGACAAAGAAUAAUAAUGAGUAGAGAUGGGUCCAAACCAAAAUUGUAACACCCCUGAAAUUAGUUUUGGAUCUGAAUCGAGAUCUAUAACUGGCCUUAACAUUUUUGGGAAGCACGUGAAACUAUUAUUUUGCAACCUCCCACUAGCCUUCAUGAUUUCCCUGGAUCCACUACUCUGCACAGGGCUUGCCUGGAGACUUUGGGGAGGGGUAGUGAAAUGGCACACAGGGAUACACCCCAAAUGUAACUAACUCAUUUUAUAUAGUUUUAUUUUUCUUAUUUUUUCAGUCCAUUACUAAGAAGAACCUUAAGUGCUUCCCUGUAAACAAAUAAGUGGAAUUUUUUUAUUGCAUCUUUGGCAUCCCAUCUAAUAAGAUAAGUUGUUUUUACGUCUCUCUUUGGGGCAGUAUACCAUCACUGCCAAAAGCUAUCCACAAGCACUACAAAUGGGGAUGGAAACCAUAUAUAAACAUUUAAGUUUAACCUUUUUAUCUUACAGCGGUUUAUAAUAGCAACAAUGAACUUGACUCACUGCAUUUCCUGUGGGGAUAAAGUGACCUGCAGGGGUUAAUACCCCAAGGCAAAACCAUGGGCCAUCAUCUCACCCAACCAAUAAUUAACCUGAAGAAAUGCCUUGAGCUCCCAUCAUUAGCCCUUAAAAAGAGCCUUUAGAAUUCAAAAUUAGUUUGGAGUGGGACUUACCACCACCUGAGCUUCAUUCAUUGUAACUAACUUGUCUAUGCUCUUCAGGCUGGAUGCAUUUAAGUAUUGUAACUGUAUGUAACAAUUGAAUGAAUUACUUUGAGAUUAAAGGGCUGAACUGGAGAAACUGCAUACGGCUGGUUUUAAGGUGAGGCAUCUUCCAAUAUUAUUCUAACUGUAUUGUGAUGUAACUGCUGCAGCAAAUGGGGAAUCAAAUUAGUGCAUUAUUUGUCAUCAUAUGUAAAAUGUUUCCAUGUGCAGUGAAUGUUCUUAAACUUUUCAGUUGCCUCAUAUAAAAUUGUUAGGUUUUUGUUCGUUUAAUUUGUUACCAGUAGUGCCCAAAAUGGGGUAGGUUUUGGGCAAACAUAAAGGAAGCCAUGGUCCCCGCCCUCAAGAGCUCACGUUACCUAAGUAUUUGAGGUAUUUUCCUAUACGAAAUAUAGGUGACUACAAGGAACACUGCUAAUAACAUAUUCUGGUUUUCUAAAGCAAAAUUGGGAAGUUUAAGCACAACUGCUGUACAUCCCCCAAAACCAUUAUAUUUGCAUUCUGCAUCAAUACCUUUUUAAGAUCAAUAACUCACAAUUUAAGUUCUGAAGGGGAAAAGUUUUAAUUUCUAUGUGUAAGCUACUUCUGUAGCUCAUUACAAUCUAUUCUAUGUGUUAGUUUCCCACAAGUAUUUAUAUAGCAAAAACAUGCCUACAAUGUACUGAUGUGGCUGAGAUUUUGUAAACACAAAUAUCAGGAAAUUAAAAAAUAUGGUUCU